rnacentral:rRNA from 1 species
AACGAAUGCUGGCGGCAUGCCUAACACAUGCCAGUCGAACGAGACCUUCGGGUCUAGUGGCGCACGGGUGCGUAACGCGUGGGAACCUGCCCUUAGGUUCGGAAUAACUCCCCGAAAGGGGUGCUAAUACCGGAUAAUGUCUUCGGACCAAAGAUUUAUCGCCUUUGGAUGGGCCCGCGUUGGAUUAGCUGGUUGGUAGGGUAAAAGCCUACCAAGGCGACGAUCCAUAGCUGGUCUGAGAGGAUGAUCAGCCACACUGGGACUGGGACACGGCCCAGACUCCUGAGGGGGGGAGCAGGGGGGAAAAUUGGAAAAGGGGGGAAAGCCGAACCCCGCAAGGCCGGGGAGGUGAUUAGGGCCUAAGGAUUGUAAACCUCUUUUUCCCGGGCUGAUAAGAAAGGACCCGGGGAAAAAACCCCCGCUAACUUCGUG